CCUACGGGAGGCAGCAGUGAGGAAUAUUGGUCAAUGGGCGCGAGCCUGAACCAGCCAAGUAGCGUGAAGGAUGACUGCCCUACGGGUUGUAAACCUCUUUUGCCGGGGAGCAACGGGCGUCACGUGUGGCGCCACUGAGAGUACCCGGAGAAAAAGCAUCGGCUAACUCCGUGCCAGCAGCCGCGGUAAUACGGAGGAUGCGAGCGUUAUCCGGAUUUAUUGGGUUUAAAGGGUGCGUAGGCGGAUCGUUAAGUCAGUGGUCAAAUUGAGGGGCUCAACCCCUUCCCGCCAUUGAAACUGGCGUUCUUGAGUGGAAGAGAAGUAUGCGGAAUGCGUGGUGUAGCGGUGAAAUACAUAGAUAUCACGCAGAACCCCGAUUGCGAAGGCAGCAUGCCGGCUUCCGACUGACGCUGAAGCACGAAAGCGUGGGGAUCGAACAGGAUUAGAUACCCGAGUAGUC
rnacentral:rRNA from 1 species